UACGUAGGGGGCUAGCGUUGUCCGGAAUCAUUGGGCGUAAAGCGCGUGUAGGCGGUUACGUAAGUCUGCUGUGAAAGUCGGAGGCUCAACCUUCGAAAGCCGGUGGAUACUGCGUGACUAGAGUACGGAAGAGGAGAGUGGAAUUCCUGGUGUAGCGGUGAAAUGCGCAGAUAUCAGGAGGAACACCAACGGCGAAGGCAGCUCUCUGGGACGUUACUGACGCUGAGACGCGAAAGCGUGGGGAGCAAACAGG
rnacentral:rRNA from 1 species